rnacentral:rRNA from 1 species
UGGGGAAUUUUGGACAAUGGGCGAAAGCCUGAUCCAGCCAUGCCGCGUGCAGGAUGAAGGCCUUCGGGUUGUAAACUGCUUUUGUACGGAACGAAAAGCCUCUUUCUAAUAAAGAGGGGUCAUGACGGUACCGUAAGAAUAAGCACCGGCUAACUACGUGCCAGCAGCCGCGGUAAUACGUAGGGUGCAAGCGUUAAUCGGAAUUACUGGGCGUAAAGCGUGCGCAGGCGGUUUUGUAAGACAGAGGUGAAAUCCCCGGGCUCAACCUGGGAACUGCCUUUGUGACUGCAAGGCUGGAGUGCGGCAGAGGGGGAUGGAAUUCCGCGUGUAGCAGUGAAAUGCGUAGAUAUGCGGAGGAACACCGAUGGCGACGGCAAUCCCCUGGGCCUGCACUGACGCUCACGCACGAAAGCGUGGGGAGUAAACAG